rnacentral:lncRNA from 1 species
GCUACGCGGUGGUGGCCUCAGUGUAGGCGGACUAGGCGGUGGUUUCAUGGGUGGCCUGGUUGAGGGUGGUGGUGGCACGGGGGGCUGGGGUGAGGGAGGUGGUGGUGGCACAGGUGGCUGGGGGGAAGGAGGUGGUGGUGGCACAGGUGGCUGGGGGGAAGGAGGUGGUGGUGGCACAGGUGGCUGGGGGGAAGGAGGUGGUGGUGGUGGUGGUGGUGGCACAGGUGGCUGGGGUGAGGGAGGUGGUGGUAACACGGGGGGCUGGGGUGAGGGAGGUGGUGGUGGCAUGAGGAGCUGGAUUGAAGGAGUAGGUGGCGUCCUGGGGGGUGGCCUUGGGGAGGGAGGCGGUCGCACAGUGGGGGGUCGGGUUGA